rnacentral:tRNA from 1 species
UUUAUAAUAGCUAAAAGGUUAGAAUUAUUAUUUUAAAGGUUAAAAAUAUUAUAUUAUUACUAAAAAUAGCUUUUAAAAAGGUAUUAUUAUUAUUAAAAAAACUAAAUAAUCUGGAUUUUAAAAAGGUAAUAUUAUUAAAAUAAUAGUUUUUAAAAUUAUUAUUAAAAGUAUUAUUAAAAGCUUUUUAAAUAUUAUAAAAAAGUUUAAUAAAAAUAUUAAUAAUAUUAUUUUUUAUUAAUACUUUAAAAA